rnacentral:rRNA from 1 species
CUACGGGACGCUCCAGUUACGAAAACUUUACAAUGCACGAAAGUGUGAUAAGGGUAUCCCAAGUGCUUUGCUUCGGUAAGGCUUUUUUUAAGUGUAAAUAUCUUGAAGAAUAAGUGGUGGGAAAUACUGGUGCCAGCAGCCGCGGUAACACCAGAGCCACAAGUGGUAACCGUUUAUUUGGCCUAAAGGGUCCGUAGCCGAUUUAAUAACUUUCCUGUGAAAUUGUUGGGCUUAACUUAACAAUGUGCAGGAAAAACUGUUAGAUUAGAGACCGGGAAGAGAUAGAAGUAUUCUUGGGGGAGCGGUAAAAUGCUAUAAUCCUUAGAAGACUACCUAUGGCGAAGGCAUCUAUCUAGAACGGGUCUGACGGUGAGGGACGAAAGCUAGGGGAGCGAUCGGGAUUAGAUACCCCCGUAGUC